GUCUACGGCCAUACCACCCUGAAUGCCCCAGAUCCUGUCUGAUCUCAGAAGUUAAGUAGGGUUGGGCCUGGUUAGUACUUGGAUGGGAAAGGAGAGUCUAUACGCAUCUGGGAGGGAAGGGUUAAUUCAGGUG
rfam:Pan troglodytes isolate Yerkes chimp pedigree #C0471 (Clint) chromosome 5, whole genome shotgun sequence.